rnacentral:rRNA from 1 species
UGGGGAAUUUUGCGCAAUGGGGGAAACCCUGACGCAGCAACGCCGCGUGGAGGAUGAAAUCCCUUGGGAUGUAAACUCCUUUCGAUCGGGACGAUUAUGACGGUACCGGAAGAAGAAGCCCCGGCUAACUUCGUGCCAGCAGCCGCGGUAAUACGAGGGGGGCAAGCGUUGUUCGGAAUUAUUGGGCGUAAAGGGCGCGUAGGCGGUUUGACAAGUCUGAUGUGAAAUCUCUGGGCUCAACCCAGAGUCUGCAUUAGAAACUGUCGGGCUUGAGUAUGGGAGAGGUGAGUGGAAUUUCCGGUGUAGCGGUGAAAUGCGUAGAUAUCGGAAGGAACACCUGUGGCGAAAGCGGCUCACUGGACCAUAACUGACGCUGAGGCGCGAAAGCUAGGGGAGCAAACAGGAUUAGAUACCCCCGUAGUCC